GACGAACGCUGGCGGCGUGCCUAAUACAUGCAAGUCGAGCGAAUCUCGAGGAGCUUGCUCCUUGAGGUUAGCGGCGGACGGGUGAGUAACACGUGGGCAACCUGCCUGUAAGACUGGGAUAACACCGGGAAACCGGUGCUAAUACCGGAUAAUUCUUUCCCUCACAUGAGGGAAAGCUGAAAGUUGGUUUCGGCUGACACUUACAGAUGGGCCCGCGGCGCAUUAGCUAGUUGGUGAGGUAACGGCUCACCAAGGCGACGAUGCGUAGCCGACCUGAGAGGGUGAUCGGCCACACUGGGACUGAGACGCGGCCCAGACUCCUACGGGAGGCAGCAGUAGGGAAUCUUCCGCAAUGGACGAAAGUCUGACGGAGCAACGCCGCGUGAGUGAUGAAGGCCUUCGGGUCGUAAAACUCUGUUGUUAGGGAAGAACAAGUACCGGAGUAACUGCCGGUACCUUGACGGUACCUAACCAGAAAGCCACGGCUAACUACGUGCCAGCCGCCGCAGUAA
rnacentral:rRNA from 1 species